rnacentral:rRNA from 6 species
GAACUUUCCAGAGAUGGAUUGGUGCCUUCGGGAACUGUGAGACAGGUGCUGCAUGGCUGUCGUCAGCUCGUGUUGUGAAAUGUUGGGUUAAGUCCCGCAACGAGCGCAACCCUUAUCCUUUGUUGCCAGCGAUUAGGUCGGGAACUCAAAGGAGACUGCCAGUGAUAAACUGGAGGAAGGUGGGGAUGACGUCAAGUCAUCAUGGCCCUUACGACCAGGGCUACACACGUGCUACAAUGGCGCAUACAAAGAGAAGCGACCUCGCGAGAGCAAGCGGACCUCAUAAAGUGCGUCGUAGUCCGGAUUGGAGUCUGCAACUCGACUCCAUGAAGUCGGAAUCGCUAGUAAUCGUGGAUCAGAAUGCCACGGUGAAUACGUUCCCGGGCCUUGUACACACCGCCCGUCACACCAUGGGAGUGGGUUGCAAAAGAAGUAGGUAGCUUAACCUUCGGGAGGGCGCUUACCACUUUGUGAUUCAUGACUGGGGUGAAGUCGUAACAAGGUAACCGUAGGGGAACCUGCGGUUGGAUCACCUCCUUACCUUAAAGAA